rnacentral:misc_RNA from 1 species
GCAAACUUGGUCAUUUAGAGGAAGUAAAAGUCGUAACAAGGUUUCCGUAGGUGAACCUGCGGAAGGAUCAUUAAAGAAAUGCGGCCGAGGGGCCCAACAGCCCCGGAGCCAACACGUUCUACCCUGUCUUUUCGAUACCGCUACCUCCUCCCCGGCCCCCGGGCCGGGCUGGCUACUUCAAAAGAACCUUGCAGUUUACAGUCAAAUCAGUACACAAACAAUUAAGUUACAACUUUCAACAAUGGAUCUCUUGGCUCUGGCAUCGAUGAAGAACGCAGC